GUGAACACGAUGAUGGGAAGUAGUAGCAAGCACGUUUUUUUUAGAGAGUCAGCGGGUGGUGGAAGCUGAUAAAAGCACUUGUGAAUCCGUCCUGGAGUUGCGCAGCCGAAGUGAAUAAAGUAGGCUGUCGCCGGUUGAAAUGCCGUUAUGAGAUAAGUGGAUUAGGCGAAUGUCUAAUCAAUUAGGGUGGCAACGCGGGUAGCUCUCGUCCCUUUC
rnacentral:ncRNA from 1 species